UUAAUUGAAGAGUUUGAUCAUGGCUCAGAUUGAACGCUGGCGGCAGGCCUAACACAUGCAAGUCGAGCGGCAGCACAGAGGAACUUGUUCCUUGGGUGGCGAGCGGCGGACGGGUGAGUAAUGCCUGGGAAAUUGCCCGGUAGAGGGGGGAUAACCAUUGGAAACGAUGGCUAAUACCGCAUAACCUCGCAAGAGCAAAGCAGGGGACCUUCGGGCCUUGCGCUACCGGAUAUGCCCAGGUGGGAUUAGCUAGUUGGUGAGGUAAGGGCUCACCAAGGCGA
rnacentral:rRNA from 1 species